AUUGCACUUGUGAAAACUGAGAGCCAGAGGCAAGUUACCUCACCUUGGCAGGGCUUUGAUGCGAACUUUCUCAUAACUCCCUGGCCUCGCUGGGCUCUGACUACGUCUGUGAAUCAAAUCCCAUUAUGCCAGCCAAGCAGUGGUGGCGCACACCUUUAAUCCCAGCACUCGGAAGACAGAGGCAGGUGGAUCUCUGUGAGUCUGAGGCCAGCCUGGUCUACAGAGUGAGAGUUCCAGGACAGCCAGAGCUGUUACACCAAUAUCCCACAUGUCCUUAAUCCUUUUAUUGUUGAUGGACGUCUACCAUGUUUCGUUUUUGUGAAUAGCACAGCAAUAAACACGGGUGUUGCCAGUACUUCUGUGGAGUGAUGGCAGAACCCUAUGGGUAUCUACCCAGGAGUGA
rnacentral:lncRNA from 1 species